AAGAACGUUUGACAGUCGGAACAGUCACUUCUGAAUUUCGGGAGCCAAAAUGUCCGAGUUCUAGGGCGUUUGACAACUAAGGUACGACUGUACAUGUAAAGUGUCACUAAGCCAUGGUCUUUAACUUGCUCCUAAUGUUUAUUAUUAUUUUUCUAUUGACUAGCAAACUAAAGAAAAUCCUCUAGUUUUUCCAGUACAGAUGUGCAAUGGAUAGCAAGAGCUUGGUUUUUAUUUCUUGUGGGAGAUCUGGGUACUGUCCAGCUGUUGAACAGCUUAUAGACAUCCACAUGUAGGUAUGGAUGAUCACUGUACAUUGGGGUGGGAAACCUCUGGCCCUCCAGACAUUGUUGGACUACAACUCCUAUUAGCUGCAGCCAACAUGGGCAGUGGAUUAUUGGAGUUGUAGUCCAGCAGCAUCUGCAGGGCAAUAGGUUCCACAUCCCUGCUGUAUACACUGUUACGGAUAUAAUUGGAUGGUCUGCUUUGGUGUGGAAGGGGAAGGAGAGAAGGUAUGGAAGAAUUAGAGGUUUGCAUACCUGUUCUACAUGGGACAGAGCUUGGGCUAAAUCAAUUGAUUCAAACAAAGGUGAGCCGUCAUUUUUUAUUGGAAGCUCAGUCUUGAUGGUAUCCAAAGUUAGAACUUAGACAAUUUGCAUAAAUGAAGCAUAGCUGAAUAUGACAGGUCAACACUUUAAUGUCAAACAUGUGCAGACAAAUAAAAAUUAAUUUUUGUCUUAAAAUAGUUUGUUUAUAUCUAUAUUGUCUUUCUCUCACACUCACACACACAAUUUUACCCUAUUGCUUUUCUUUGUGUUGUAAUAUUAGAAACUAGCUAAAUUGCCCUCAUAUCAUCCUGAUAUUUGAUUAGAAAUCAAACCUACUUUUAAAUUUAUUUUUAUUCUACCAUCAAUUAUGUAAAUGUAAAAAUUAAAAAACAAACUGAAGUGCUUUUUACAAUAUUUUGCAUACCAACUAAUUUUUUCAUGUCCGCUUAAUAAGAAAACUCAUAAACCGUACCAAAUCAGAAUUACAAAUAUACUAAAAGCAGAUUAAAACAAUAAAACUCAGACCCUAAAAAGGACUAGGAAAACACACACACACACACAAACACGUGUACGUGUCAAAAGAUAGAAAAGUAGUUUCCAGAUGGGUCUAUGGGGAGGAAAUUACAUAAAUGAGGUGUUGCCCUCUGAUUGGCAGCCGUUUCAUCUUGGGCACUAUGAAGAUCCUUUUCGCUGACAGCAUUGCCUGGGCUUUAUAUGCAUGUUAUACAGAUUUUGUUGAACUAUCAGACCAUAAUCUUUGUGCCAGAUUUAAUAUUACUGAUAUUCAGGGAAUAAAUGGUGAGGAUUCCUGAAUAUUUAAAACAGUUGCUUGAAGAAAUGUGGAUCUUCCUUCUCAGCUACUCUAGUACUGGACCGUCCCAUUCACUUUGGUAUUAGAAAAGGAAGAAUGAAAUCAAGGUUCAGAGUUUGUGCUAGAAAAUACUACACAUGGUUGACAGCAUCCAUUGUUCAAGAGAAUGCAAAUAUAGGCACUAGCACUGAUUUAUAUUGCCUGGGCUUUCUUGGGUGCUAAUUAGUGUAAGCCCUUGUCUAUGUCCCUUUCCUGGAAACAAUUCCUAGGGGUCCUUGUUCAUUCAUCAUCAGAAUAGUUCUCUCAAGUCUAGUAGAUACAAAAGUUUUGCUAUCUUUUCACUAUGUUACCCAUUUUUUCCCUCUUUCAUAAUUGGAUACAGAAUGGAAUACAGGGUAUAGCAGAGGAUGUAUACCAUUUAUUUCUGUAUUUUUAUUUUUAAAGAUUUUAGAUUUCCCUGAAGUAUGACCAGUUAGGAUCUGAAACAUGUUGGAUCUAUAAGCAGAACCAGGCAGACUACUAAGGAGGCCUUGGGAUAACCUGAAACUUGAAUGUAAAGAACAACAUGCAGCUCUUAAUUCAGUUCAAUGACCAUCAACUCUUUUAUGAAAGAAGAUGCUCUUACCUCUUGUACUGGUAAGAGAUGUGGAUCCCACCCUCCACGCGCUUAUAAAGCCAAAUCAUCUGCCCUCCAAUGUUUCUCUGAGGAAAAUAGAGACAACCUACUCAACAUCAGGAAGCUUCUCUCGCAUUGGAUCUCACAGCACACCUAUACCUCAUAUUUGUCAUACAUUGAUAUUGAUCACCUUGAGCCAAUGGCAACCUCUGCACCUCACCUAUCUCACAGGAAUGCUGUAAAGAAAAAAUGUGCAAGGGAAGGGAUCCACAGAUAAAUGGAACAAAAUAAAAUUUUAGUGUAAGCUGCCUUGAGUCCCUGUCAGGGAAAAAGGAGGAGGAGGAGGAGGAGGAGAAGAAGAAGAAUGGAAACAGAGAAUGACCAGGAACAUGCCAGAGAGCCUACCCCACCCUCUUUCUUGUGUGUGUUUGUUUUGAAGAUUCUCUGGAAGCUGCAUUCUGCACCCACUACCCUAUUUGUUGGGGUUGGUACUGGAACAUAAGAAAUUGCUUUCUACCACGUCAGGCCAUUGAUCCAUCUACUACCGAUGGUGUGUUGCAGAUAUUAAAUAUUGCACAGUUUGAAGCGACUGGAGGCAUAAAAACUUACUCCUUUAGAAGUGAAACAUUGUCCAGACCCAUAGAAAUAUUCAAACUUUAGCUGGCAGAACUUUCUUCAAAACACAAAAACAUCUAAAAUAUGCAUGCAAUAUCUUCUGCUAUCCAACACAGGCUCAGCAUCUUACAAAAUAUGAAAUGAUCCAAUCAGACCUAUAAGCAAAGGUCUCUCUCUCCAGUCUGCUUCCCAGCCUCCAAGCUGUUUGCGCUCCAGUCAGGAGAGCCAUUUACUUGCGUUGUUCUUUGUGUACCAUUCAGAGAGAAAACUCCAUUUGCAUCUUCACUCCCAUUAAGUUUGAGAGGCAAAGACUCAAAGGCAACUCCUUUCAAAAUGGAAAUUGCGACCCCCAUACCUUCUCACAUGAUCCUAGUUACAACCCUCGGUUAGCUACCAGAGAACAACCAUCAGUUAAUCAUUAACUCAGCAGGAGCUCAGAGUCCUUUAGAAAAACUCUUGUUUUCAGCCAUUUUCCAUUUCAAUUAAUACAUACACAUUUUUCAUUUCUGUGUGAAUUAGACCAUUAACAUGCUGACUGAGAGUGGCACUCCAGGGUUUGGGGCGGCCCUAUCUAGAAGUUCCAAGGACUGAACCUGGGCCCUCAUUCUGCACUGGUGUGGAACCAGCAGGAGGGAGCCUUUUGUGUGAAGGCCUUUUGACAUAAGAACAGUACAAAUAGACACACAUUUGAAGGUUACAGAAUCGGGGGUAUUCUUGAUGCUACCCAGCAGACAUCUUAGGAAUGUAUGUUACAGCGAUAAGUAAUAGGGGAAGCAGUCAUCAGAGAAUGAAGUCAUUGGGCCUAUUGUGUUGCCAGUCAGCUAGGAUCUAAAAGGACCACAUGGUGGAAAUGACUGUACUUCAUCACUGUAUAGUGCUACUCUUGAAUCUAUUGAUCAACUAGCAACAGGGAAAUAGUUUUGGAGGACAAAAAUAUUUUAACAGUUCCUGAUUUCAGAUUCCCUCCAUCUUGUUUCUGAGCCUAACAAAUCCCAAGAACAUCUUGAAGCAGAAGGAUUUAAAUUGGUUUCCAUAGAAAACAGGGGAAGAAUUCUGCAUUUUAGGAGAAGGGCUCUGUCUAUGACAGUCCGACAAAGGCGGGGAGAACCAAAGGAAGGUCACUAAGGGGUAAAGUUUUGUUUGCACUAUUCUGGUAAUCCAAUAUUUAUUAAAAGUAAGUGAAGCAUGGCUUUUUCAGCAUCAAGCAAGCAGCUGGGAAUUUCAGCUAAAUCAUUUUUCUUCCACCAGAACUCAGCAGGUCAGAUGUGGCUUAGUCUUGCAAAAUGCCCUGCGGCCAAUAUACCACAAAGCUUUAAUGUAAGGCUUGACUCCUAGUAAAUAAAUGCAAAUAUUUCAA